UAUGAAAAUAAGUUAAACUAGAUUUUAACUUGUGGUACACUGCGUGACGAUUUCUUUUUAAAAGUUAGUAUAUAUAAAAGUUUGCAAACUGUAUCUAUUUAUAAAAUAUUUAUAUUUUAUAGUUUACAAUUGUUAUUUAAUAAUGGUAUACCAGAAGUAUACAGAACAGUUGUUAAUAAACUAGAGAUUUAACCCUU
rnacentral:sRNA from 1 species